AUUGAACGCUGGCGGCAUGCCUUACACAUGCAAGUCGAACGGCAGCACGGGUGCUUGCACCUGGUGGCGAGUGGCGAACGGGUGAGUAAUACAUCGGAACAUGUCCUGUAGUGGGGGAUAGCCCGGCGAAAGCCGGAUUAAUACCGCAUACGAUCUACGGAUGAAAGCGGGGGACCUUCGGGCCUCGCGCUAUAGGGUUGGCCGAUGGCUGAUUAGCUAGUUGGUGGGGUAAAGGCCUACCAAGGCGACGAUCAGUAGCUGGUCUGAGAGGCAGACCGGCCACACUGGGACUGAGACACGGCCCAGACUCCUACGGGAGGCAGCAGUGGGGAAUUUUGGGCAAUGGGCGAAAGCCUGAUCCAGCAAUGCCGCGUGUGUGAAGAAGGCCUUCGGGUUGUAAAGCACUUUUGUCCGGAAAGAAAUCCUUGGCCCUAAUACGGUCGGGGGAUGACGGUACCGGAAGAAUAAGCACCGGCUAACUACGUG
rnacentral:rRNA from 1 species